AACGUCAAAAUAACACUUGUCAUAAGUGCUUUUUUUGCUGAAUUUUGCUGCACGUACGUGAAUUCUGAAUGAAUUUAAUAUUCUCGUGUGAUACUUAAUGUAAAAUGUUUCAAAAUAAAUAUAUAUUUUGCUAAAAAUAGGCUUGUACAAGUUCUAGUGUUGUUUGUGAAGUUACCUGGCUGUACAAGCAUUCCUGUGCAAAAUAUGGAACAAAUCCUGAACUUAUUGUAUUUUCUCGCAGACAGUUGUACUUGCUUAUCGGCUGGGUCACAAGUUUCAAGAACUAAUCGAGGCUAUCUGGUCCAUCGGUUAAAAUUAUGGGUCAAUUAUAGAGAUACAGCAAAGGCUCAUUUUAAAGCAAAUUGAAGCGCAUGCAAAUAUUACCAAAUUAGAUGUUACUGGGUACACAAAAUCUGUGAGUCCCUACGAUUGAACGAGAGAUAAAAAAACAUCCAAGGGGGGGAGGGUGAUAUUUAAAAUUACCCUUCCUCUCCCCAAAUAUCACAUGUAUUUUUAGUUAUGAGAAAAAUUGUAAAUUUGUUGUUUUGAACCUCACUCAAUCAAGCUUCUAACAAGGUGAUCAUGGCACGAUAGGCUAGAUAGUGUACUUAUAUUACAAGUUCGACUCUAGACAAAGAAAGAAUUCUACUGAGCUCGAUCCUGAAAAGUAAAGGAAACUAGUCUGGGCCCAUUCUGCAAAACGAGUACACGAAGGACUGAAAAUAGAAGGACCGAUAGGAUUGGGAAGAAGAAGAAUGCAGAUGCGAAAAAAAUAUAGAAAAUAAAAAAUACAGGGAACUGAAAGUCAAAGCACGGGCACAAGGCUUUAGUUGAGGAUUUGUGCAGAUAUUUGGAUUACUCGAGCCUCGAAUAGAUCUAUUUACACUCGACAAUAUAACUUUGCCAUAAGGAUGAUGAAGGGUACACACUGCAAAUGCAAAUAAAUCAUAUUCUAAUAAUUAAAGAUAAUUUACUUAAAUCAGGAGAAAUAUCAUAAGAGGCUUUAGUUGAGGAUUUGUGCAGAUAUUUGGAUUACUCGAGUCUCGAGUAGAUCUAUUUACACUCGACAACAUAAUUUUGCCAUAAGGAUGAUGAAGGGUACACACUGCAAAUGCAAAUAAAUCAUAUUCUAAUAUUUAAAGAUAAUUUAAACCUAACUUAAAUCAGGAGAAAUAUCAUAAGAGGCUUUAGUUGAGGAUUUGUGCAGAUAUUUGGAUUACUCGAGCCUCGAAUAGAUCUAUUUACACUCGACAACAUAAUUUUGCCAUAAGAAUGAUGAAGGGUACACAACUGCAAAUGCAAAUAAAUCAUAUUCUAAU